rnacentral:rRNA from 1 species
ACGCUAGCGGCAGGCCUAACACAUGCAAGUCGAACGGUAACAGAUCUAGCUUGCUAGAUGCUGACGAGUGGCGCACGGGUGAGUAACGCGUAUACAAUCUACCUUUAACUGAGGGAUAGCCCAGAGAAAUUUGGAUUAAUACCUCAUAGUAUUAUAGAGAGGCAUCUUUUUAUAAUUAAAACUCCGGUGGUUAAAGAUGAGUAUGCGUCCUAUUAGCUUGUUGGUAAGGUAAAAGCUUACCAAGGCUACGAUAGGUAGGGGGCCUGAAAGGGUGAUCCCCCACACUGGUACUGAGACACGGACCAGACUCCUACGGGAGGCAGCAGUGAGGAAUAUUGCACAAUGGAGGAAACUCUGAUGCAGCCAUGCCGCGUGCAGGAUGAAUGCCCUAUGGGUUGUAAACUGCUUUUAUACAAGAAGAAACCUCGGUACGUGUACCGACUUGACGGUAUUGUAUGAAUAAGCACCGGCUAAC